GUGAUAUUGAUAGUUAAAACAGACUUAUAUUACAAGUGCAUGCUGUGGAAAGAACUCCUUAAAUGAGUGAACUCAAUGAAAUAAUACUGGGGUAGGUAGGCUUCAGCAAAGUUGGUUAGCUACUUUAAAAUAUUUUCCUGUAUAUCAGAACUUUGAUUGCCUUUAACUGUUCUCCUUGAGCACAGUUUCUAGUUUUCUUACCAUCACAUACUGUCAUGUUUUGCAGGAACAACUUAAGUAAAGUAACCAGUUAUUUUGUUUUCCGUUUUAAAGUUAAUAAAAUUUGCAGGAACAACUUAAGCAAAGUAGCCCGUUAUUUUUCAUAGUAUCAUAAGGGAUUCUGAUUCAGGAAGCUAUUCCUAAUGAAGUUUAUAACUCAGCUGAUGAAGAGUAUACUGCUGACGAAGGAUAAAGACAAUCAAGAGAUUCUGAUUUAAUUUUAGAAGCUACUUCUAAGAAAGUAUCAAUUAGCAAGGAUCCUGACCAGGACCCAAAAAUAUCUAUACAAGAUACUGCAACUUUAGCAGCAGCUGACCAGGGAUUGAUAGACCUUAUUGGAAAGAGAAAAUGGAUUCAUUAACCAAAAUAAUCUUGAUGACUAUAUUAAUAAAAUUAAUGCAAACAAGCAGCAAAAGAUGGAUGCAACGAAAACUAUUUUGCCACUUUUCUAGUAUCAUGCUUAUGAAAGCUCUGAAUCCUCUAGUAGGUAACAUACCAAAGUGGAAAUUACAAAAAGAUAGUUAUAGAUUUCAACACUUCUUAAUAAGAGAUUUUAGUGUGUUUAUGGGGACAAGUUCAGCACCUACUCAUUGAUGUCAUUACUUAAAUGGCUUCCAUCAUGAAAAAAAUUCCAAAGUGAUGCGUGGUGCUGUCUUUUGGGGCUGCUGAUAUUAAAACAUGAAAUCAAGCAAUGGAAUGCUUUACCAUUUUUUGUGAGCUCUACAAAAUCAUGAAAGAGCAAGAAUCCCAAGGUUUCGGUGAAGGCAUUUCAUGGAUGGUAUCUACAGUUGAAGACUUUGGAAUUACGCCUAUAAAGUUAAAGAUUACAAGUGACACCAGGAAGCUUGUCUAUCACGCUCAAAUCAUAUUGCUCGAGUUGAUGCUUGCACGGAUUUGUUUUCUUGCUGUGUUGGGAGUUAAAUUCAUUCCAUUCUCCCUGAUAACUACUGCUCUUUUGUAAUUUGAGAGCUUGCUUUUCUUGGAUGCUAAGAUUUCUAUAAUUGCAGAGUCAGGUUUUCUGGUGUUUGGGGGACGAAAUCUACUUGAGCUGUUUUUGAAUUCUUUCAGAAGACUUGAUAAGCUGCUGAAAUUAUGAUAGUUGACUGUGUCUAGAGUUUGAAGUAGUGUCAACCAAUAAGUAAAAAAUCAUUAUUUGUCUUAACAUUUUCUUGUCUUUAGUUGUUGUAAUUGUGUUUAUGUUUAUAAAUAUUUGUUUUUUUUUCUUAUGAAUAUUUUAAGUGUUUGAGUAUCCAUUUAAGGAGUUGCCAAAGUUGGGGCUAUGCUUGUGUUGCCUCAACAUCUUCACCACUUGUUUAAACACUUUAAUUCCAUUCUAGUCUUGCAUAUAUUUUUGAGGCAUUCUACUUUUUCAUGUUGUUUUUUUGUACUUGAUUGUUGCUCUAUUUUAUAGGCAGGAUAAUAAUGGAAUCAAUUGCAUUUUUACUACAAGUUUUUUCCCUCUUAAGUUAUACUGGUUUGCAGUUAUAUUGUUCUUUGUAAAAUAGAAAAAUUAAGUAUUUUAAAGAAUAAUUAUAUAUCAAUUUGUUAAUCUAGUUGAAGACAUUCUUAAUAUUUCUUCAUAGCAUGCUUCUUUACAAAAAUGUUGAUUUUAUUCAACAAAACAUAUUGUCAAUUGACCCUGUUUUUGGUGACCCAUUAAUAUUCUUUAAUUAAUAAUUUAUAUUACUUAGUUACCUUUAAAUAAUAUCCUUUUCAUAAUUUCUUUUUAUUUACAUCUUGACUUCUUUAGAUAUUUUGGAUGACCUUUUAGAUAUUGAUCAAUUCAACUUUAAAUUUGAAUCACAUUAAUUUUUUUUUUACUUUGCUUAGUGAAACAAUUUCUUCGUUGAAUAAUUUUACCUAGAGUUGAUUGUUCAACAAAUCUAAUAUAUUGUACAAAUAUGGUGUAUCUGAUUGUUUUACUUUUGUGAUUGAGUGGAUAGAUGCAUGAAGCUAUUUUCAUGUUGCGUUGGGAGUUUUAAACUCUGUAAUGGCUUUCUAUCCUGAUCACUAAUGCUCUUUUGUAAUUUGGGAGCUUGCUUUUUUUGGAAGUUAAGAUUUCUAUACUUGUUGCAUAUAACAAUUUGCUUGAUAUAUGUGAUAUUGUAGUUUUUUUGUAUCUGCACUAGAUUUUAGCACUUACCUGAUAAGGAAUUUUAACAUGUUUAUGGGGACAGGUCCAACAAGUCAUUGAUAAGAUUCAAUGCUUGUGUAGCUCUACUUGAGGUUCUGCUUGUGGAACUUUUUCAAAGUUUUUUUUUACAUUAUUUGUUAUGUUUUAUGAAAAGGGUUGUUCAUGUUUAUUUUUUAUUUUUUAUAUUUUGUGGAAACUAGUUAGGGGAAUGAUUCAGUGGUGUAGCUUUUCUAGGGUCUCAAAAUUCUUGUAUUUUGCCUUUUGUAUUUUUUUGAUGAUUUUAUUCUCUCUAAUCUCUUUACUUAGUAGUGUCUUUUGAUUUGUGUUGUAGUUGCUAGUUUGUCUAAUUUAUCAACCUAGUUGGAAUGUUCGGAAGGUUUCUUAUGAAGCUACCUGCAAAAUUGGCUCUUCUUAAGUAGAAAUUUUGUUGGUAAAUCUGCUUCUUGAAUAUAGGUGUUGGUUGUCUUUAGUUAUUGAGAAAAUUUCACAAUUGAAGUUUAUGUAAGUGUUUGUGUUCCUUACUAAAUCUAUGUGCUCUUUGUAACUUAUGGUCAAUUGUGAUCUAGUAGGUUGUUGCCUUAGUUCCUCCAAAACCUAAAUGACUUACUUUGUAUGGUUGGGGCAUAUGGACACCUAGAUCUGCUUAACCCCAUGUUGCCGCUUUAUAUUGUGAUGUGUUUAAUACUUAUAUUCAUGCUAUUUGAUGCUUAUACUCUAGUUGGAGUCAUACAAGGUUUAGCCUUCUUUGAUUGAGAAUUUGCUCUUUUUGUUUCUCUUCUGGGCAUAUGGACACCUUUUGGUUUGUUUUCAUUGCCUAGUUGUUUCUAGUGUUUGUUUUUUCACUUUUGGUGCUAUAUCAAGUUUAUUCCAAACUUCUUAUGCCAAUUACUAGUUUCUUAUUUGAUUAAUUUUCUCAAUUAACUUCCUAAGAUGAUGCAUGCGUGGUCAAUGACAUACAGAGUUGGUAUGAGGCACAAAUCUACUAUCCGUUAAACUGUUAGUGAAAUGUUUUCUUCUUAUUGCAACUGCAGCUAUUUCCUGUUUCGAUGGUUCAUAUUUCCAGCUGAUAAUUUGUUCACUCACCCUUGCAUUGCCAACAACGGUAUAAGCAACAAUGUAUGGAAAGUAGGUCAAGUUCCCAAAGGCCCUUCGUAGGGGUAUUUUUGAACAAAUAGUUAGUGGUCUGUCAGUGUCAUGUAAAGUUGGACCACCUCCAACAGAUUGGUUUACCUUUAAAUUUCCAGUUUAUUUCUAUCUAAAUUUAGUUAUCAUCCAACUUUACUUGUUGCUAGAUAUUUUUUUUAAUUACUUCAUUUAUGCUAGGUAAUCGAGCAGAUUCUGUUUUCUUCCCAGAAGACUGCAUGCACUUCACAAUGACUGCACUUUCUACUUCUGAGCCUACAUGGCUACUACACCUGGGAACUUCUGAUAUGAUACUUUUGAUCUAUUUUCUAGUAUUAGUUCGUUGUUACCAUAUUUUCUCCCAACAGAUAUUUCUUUACAUCUUGUUCACCCGUUUUCAUUUUCUUUAUUGCUAGAUUGUAAGUUUAGUUUAUUUUAGUUUUAGCUCAUGAGCAACUAAAUGAGUGUCAAUUUUUUGGAUUCAUAUGUAUCUAUGUUGUACUCUUAAAAUGAUAGGUCAUAUCGAAAGAAGGUUCAUUGAGGUGCCUCUUGGAGCUACAUGGGUUCUAGCAACAAUCAAUGAGAGCUUCAGGAUUUGAUACAAUUCAGGGGCUAAUUAAUGGAUCAGUUGAAAUGCGAGAGAACAAGAUGCUUUGGGGUUAGGCGAGUUAAUUUCUCUCACAAAUGAGGAGACACUGAAGGAGUUCGUUAAGAAAAAAAUAUUUCAAAGUGAGUUUGUAAAACAAAAUUCAUGGCUUUAAAUAUUCUUGAGAAUAAAUUUCAAACUGACCAUAUGAUUUAUCUAAAAUAACUUGCCUAAGUAGUUAAGAAAAAAUCUGCCUAAAUGAUUCAAUAUUGUGUAUGAUGGGUUUGUUAAAUUGAAUUUCCAUCAAUGCUACUAUAUAUAUUUUUUUUUUGCUAUUUUUCUUCUACCAUAUACUUGUUUGGAAGGAACCAAUUAAAUUGGGAAAGACUUUCUUCUACCAUAUACUUUUGAUUCUUUUGAUCAUUGUUUCCUGUUCACGUGUGUUGGGCUUGAAAUUUUGUUGGUCAUCCCAUAUGGAGUGCCUAAGUCCUGUUAUCAUACUAGAAGAAAUGAAAUAAUAAUCGUACAUUUCAUUGAGGCACUGUCAUGCAAUCUUAUUUAGUCUCAGUACCUGGAAGAUAAUGGUUCGACUACAAGUACUUAUGGGUUUAACUAAAUCUAUCUCUUGGCACAAUCCAUCCACACUGCACCGAAGUUUUCCAUCUUUUAUUGAUACUCUCAAAGAUGCCUUGAAAGAUGAUUAGGUACAAAUCUUAGCAUUGGUAUAUGUACCAUUUUUGCUAUGCAAUUCUAAUGUCAUUCAUUUAUUUUUGUGUGUGGGAAUAGUUCCCAAUUUGUUAAACCGCAACCAUAACAAUCAAAAGAUUACUCUGGUUUCAAGUUGGAAAGGAAGGAAAUGUAUGUUCACAGCUCGUGCAGUCACUUAUCUUAGCUUCUCAAGAUGACUUAAGUGAGGUCAGAAGAAGAGCCCUCUUUUGUAUAAAGGCCUAUGCAAACAUAUGCAUUUUAAAUGGGUGACUGACUUUCCCUUAAAUCUAUAAAGAAGCCACAUUGAAAUUUGAAUUUUUCUAAUUGUUUCCAUGAUUGCAUUAGGUAAAUCUUGCAUUAGUUAUUGCAAGUUUUUUUAUUUUAGCUCCAGCUAUUGCACAAAGCAUAAAGAAUGGGAGUGGCUAUGUAUUCCGCAGAGCGUUGUGCUUUGCAUGUUUUUCAGUUAACAAAAGGUGGAGACAUCCAAUUUGCAAAGUCAUACAUGACCAGAUUUGCUAGGAGAAUUUCAAAGCUUUUUGAAAAGAGGUUUGGAUUCUUGUUUCCACUAGCUUAUAUGUGGAUGAUUUGCGAAUGUUCUUCUCUUUUUCUUGAAAUUUGAUAAGGUUAAAGAUCUUAAAGGACUCUCAAUUGACCUAUUGGUUCCAGGUGGCGGCUGACUAUUCUGUCUGGUUGUUCCCACUAUCACAGGACUCAUGUUCUCAUCACUGGCCUCAUCAGCAGGACUAUCCAAGUCUGCAUGGUUCCCACCAAUCGUAUUCAUUGUUUGAGGAUUCCGGGAGGCAUCGCAGUGCACCACAUGAUGUCCUAGUUUUCGGCAUCCCGUGCAAAACUUCAAUGUAGAUUCAAAAUGCAGCUGUAAAUCCACUUCACUCCCAUCUGGUACAAGUGUUGAAUUUGAUAUCUGCACUAAUUAAUCAUGUUGGAGAUAAGGUUUUGCCAUAUGCAAGUCAAUUGUUCAAUUUUUUUCUGCAAGAAUGACCAUGAUCCUUCUAAAUUGGUGGCAGAGACACCAUGCAAAUUGCUUCGUUACUUGGUUUCUUACCCAGGUUGAGACUAACAACACCGUAUGCUGAUUAUGAAGCAUGCCAUUGCUAUUGCCAGCUUUUGGAGUAAUUCAUUUUGUGAUGUUUUAAGGGCCAGGCAAUGCACCUAGUCUUGGAUUAGGGAGAUUUCCUCUUCAUUAAUGAUUGAUCUUCAUCCUUGUUAAAAGGACAACCAACCUCUUGUUGUAGGCUGGUGAUCUCAUAGCAAGGCUUGAUUUGGAUGAACCAUCUGCUAUUAGAAGAGCUGAGCCAUUUCAUGGCACUUUUUUCUAAACUGGGUCCUCCAACUGCAGUUUCUAGCAAAGUUCACCAAAAAUGUGUUGCAAGUUUAAAUGCUGCACCAAUUGUUCUUGCAGGAUACUAACAUAACAUCAAUGAAGCUGAUUUCAUAGAACUCGGGCUUCACCACAAGAAGGAUCUUCUCCAAGUGGUAGACAUGGUACUGUCACACUAGGUUUGAAUCACAUUGCUGCUUCUGAAGUACUAUAAAAGUUUUAAUAUUUGAACGACGUGCAAUAUCUGCUACUUUAAGGGUGUGAAAAAUAAAAACAAGUUGAUACUUCGACUCAUGGAAGCAUUGGUUUAUCCCAACCUUGCUCCCUACCAUGAUUUGCUAAUUCUUUUCUCUGCUUUUAAUCAUACAAGUUAUUCUUAA